AAUUUUGGACAAUGGGUGCAACCCUGAUCCAGCCAUCCCGCGUGUGCGAUGAAGGCCNNNGGGUUNUCAAGCACUUUUGGCAGNGACNAAAAGGCCCUGGCUAAUACCUGGAUCUGCUGACGGUACCUGCAGAAUAAGCACCUGCUAACUACGUCCCAGCAGCCGCGGUAAUACGUAGGGUGCAAGCGUUAAUCGGAAUUACUGGGCGUAAAGCGUGGGCAGGCGGUUCGGCAAGAAGGAUGUGAAAUCCCAGGGCUUAACCUUGGAACUGCAUUCUUAACUGCCGGGCUAGAGUAUGUCAGAGGGGGGUAGAAUUCCGCGUGUAGCAGUGAAAUGCGUAGAGAUGCGGAGGAAUACCGAUGGCGAAGGCAGCCCCCUGGGAUAAUACAGACGCUCAUGCACGAAAGCGUGGGGAGCAAACA
rnacentral:rRNA from 1 species